rnacentral:tRNA from 1 species
UUAGUAGAAGCCAAACAGAGGCUUUCCACUGUUAAUGGAAGAACUGAAUUCUUUUCCUACUAAG